CAGAUGUCAUACUUCUAUAAACAAGCCAAUGGAGUUGUGGGCUGCAUGAAGAGAUUUCACUAUUUCUAAUCAGCUGUUAAGGAGACUAAAGCAACAACACAACAUUGAGUCCUUGGGGCAGGUUGUAGAAGGAGAACAGCAUGGGAGCCUGCUGUGCGCGGUGAUGUUCACAGAUGUGUUGCCAUGACUUCCCUAAGACAUUUGGAUGAAUGGACUCAAGCGGUUGGGUUCUGAAAAGCAGCUGCGUCGCAUUCAGGGAAGAGGGGGGUGGGGACUUCGCCGCACCCAGCCUGCGGCUUACCUCACGGAUGCCGACUCACAUUACUGGUCCCAACGCACUGAAUGAGAGGAUAGGUAGAGAGAGAGGAGGAGAGAGCAGAGGAGAGGAGAGGGAAAAGAGAGAAUGGAGGAGAUCAGUUGCAGAGCAAAGGCCUAAGGAGUGGGAGAAGGAGAGUUGGUUUACUUACGAUAUUCAUAAAGCUCUAUAAUACUUUUAAUUAAAUUCAAGUGUACUGUCUUGAAUGAUUUUAUCUGAAAUAAGGGUUGGAGACUGUAUUUACAGUAUCUGCUAUGAUUAACCUUAUAUAACUCUGAUUCUACUACCAGCCUUCUGCUUGUAUGCAUAGCAAUAUCCAUGAUAAAAUCAAACAAAUGUAUGUUUUAAAUGUUCAUUUUGCAUUCCUACAAAACCUUCCAUGUAUUUAGAAGCCUUUUGUUAGCCCUUUAUCGUAUGAAAUAAUUCAAGUUCCCCCAUCAGGUGUGCAGAGGGCACUUCUAGGGUUUAUUAUGUAAAAGUCUAUUAGCAGACCUUCACAGCUUGCCACCACAUGGGUCUGACAGGCAGGCUGCUACACUCUCAGCAUCAUGAUGGAGAUUGAUGUGCACGC
rnacentral:lncRNA from 1 species